rnacentral:misc_RNA from 1 species
AAGUCGUAACAAGGUUUCCGUAGGUGAACCUGCGGAAGGAUCAUUAUUGAAUUAAUGUAGAGUUUGGUUGUAGCUGGUCCCUAAUUAACUUGGGGGCAUGUGCACACCUUUCUCUUUCAUCCCAUACACACCUGUGCACCUGUGAGACAGAUGUUUUCUAGAGGGGAAGGAACUUUAUUGGACCUACUCUUCUUGGACUCUGUCUACUUAAUCUAUAUAAACUCAAUUUAUUUUAAAAUGAAUGUAAUGGAUGUAACACAUCUAAUACUAAGUUUCAACAAUGGAUCUCUUGGCUCUC